UACGUAGGGUGCAAGCGUUGUCCGGAAUUACUGGGCGUAAAGGGCUCGUAGGCGGCCAACUAAGUCGGACGUGAAAUCCCCAGGCUCAACCUGGGAACUGCGUCCGAUACUGGAUGGCUUGAAUCCGGGAGAGGGAUGCAGAAUUCCAGGUGUAGCGGUGAAAUGCGUAGAUAUCUGGAGGAAUACCGGUGGCGAAGGCGGCAUCCUGGACCGGCAUUGACGCUGAGGAGCGAAAGCCAGGGGAGCAAACGGG
rnacentral:rRNA from 1 species